GAGUGUUGCAGCUCCUUUAGAAUUUGUCUAGUAGGUCUUCUGGCUUCUGCUGGAAGGUCCUC
rnacentral:snRNA from 1 species